GCAGGACGAAUUUUAGUUUGAACCCCCGAAACUAAGUGAGCUACUUCGAAACAGCUUUUAGAGCACACCCGUCUCUGUUGCAAAAGAGUGGUACGAUUUCCAAGUAGGGGCAAAAAACCUAUCGCACUUAGAGAUAGCUGGUUACUCAAGAAAAGAAUUUUAGUUCAACCUUAAGUUUCUCUAUUAAACAAAAAAUUAACAAAACUUUAGAGUUAUUCAAAUAAGGCACAGCUUAUUUGAACUAGGAUACAACCUACAACAUAGGGUAAUAAUUAUUAAUAAUUAACAAGUAGACUUAAAAGCAGUCAUCUUUAAAAAAGCGUUAAAGCUUAAUACUUAAUUUAUAUUAAUAUCAUCAUCACCUUGCAACCCCUCAUCAAUAUUGAGUAACUCCAUAAUUUUAUGGAAGUUAUAAUGCUAGAACUAGUAACAAGAAUUAAACCUUCUCCUAAAUGUAAGCUUAAGCCUCAAUAGAUAAACUACUGGCAAUUAACGCAAAUGACCCAAUUAUAUUAACCCUAACAAGAAAACCCUAUAUAUUAUAACGUUACCCUUACACUAGAACAUUAAAGGAAAGAUUAAAAGAAAAAGAAGGAACUCGGCAAACCUCAACCCCGCCUGUUUACCAAAAACAUCGCCUCUUGAUAAAAUAUAAGAGGUCCAGCCUGCCCAGUGACAAAGUUCAACGGCCACGGUACCCUGACCGCGCGAAGGUAGCAUAAUCACUUGUUCUUUAAAUGAGGACUUGUAUCAACGGCACCACGAGGGUUACACUGUCUCCUUUUUCUAAUCAGUGAAACUAAUCUCCCCGUGAAGAAGCGGGGAUACUACUAUAAGACGAGAAGACCCCAUGGAGCUUUAAACCCAACUACACCCCUAUCCACAAUAACCACUUAACUAAAAGGACACUGUAUGCUUGGUUUUAGGUUGGGGCGACCACGGAGUAAAAACUAACCUCCACGAUGAACGAGCCUAUUCCUCUUAUCUAAGAGCAACACCUCUAAGAAUUAGCACACUAACAUAAUAUGAUCCUUUUCUUGAUCAACGAACCAAGUUACCCUGGGGAUAACAGCGCAAUCCAUUUCAAGAGCCCAUAUCGACAAAUGGGUUUACGACCUCGAUGUUGGAUCAGGAUAUCCUAGUGGUGUAGCA
rnacentral:rRNA from 1 species